UGGCUCAGUUGGUUGGGCAUCUGACUUCAGCUCAGGUCAUGAUCUCGCAGGUUCUUGGUUCGUGGGUUCGAGCCCCAC
rnacentral:tRNA from 1 species